AGUGAACGCUGGCGGUAGGCCUAACACAUGCAAGUCGAACGGCAGCACAGUAAGAGCUUGCUCUUACGGGUGGCGAGUGGCGGACGGGUGAGGAAUACAUCGGAAUCUACUUUUUCGUGGGGGAUAACGUAGGGAAACUUACGCUAAUACCGCAUACGACCUACGGGUGAAAGCAGGGGAUCUUCGGACCUUGCGCGAUUGAAUGAGCCGAUGUCGGAUUAGCUAGUUGGCGGGGUAAAGGCCCACCAAGGCGACGAUCCGUAGCUGGUCUGAGAGGAUGAUCAGCCACACUGGAACUGAGACACGGUCCAGACUCCUACGGGAGGCAGCAGUGGGGAAUAUUGGGCAAUGGGCGCAAGCCUGAUCCAGCCAUACCGCGUGGGUGAAGAAGGCCUUCGGGUUGUAAAGCCCUUUUGUUGGGAAAGAAAAGCAGCAGGUUAAUACCCCGCUGUUCUGACGGUACCCAAAGAAUAAGCACCGGCUGACUUCGUG
rnacentral:rRNA from 1 species